rnacentral:snRNA from 1 species
GGAUGUGAGUGCGAUCUCGCUGCCACAUCUGUCACCCCAUUGAUCACUAGGGUUGAUUUGGUGGCUGGCUAGACAGGUGUCCACUUCCUCCUUUACCACUUCACACAUAUCCCUCCCAAAGCUGUGUGCUUGAUUGAAAAGGAAGCCUUUCCCUGAAUAGAAGAGGACUGGGCUUUUGUCAAGGGUAGCUACAUCCCCCUGCUGAACUUCCAUACGAGCUUUCAGAAAAAGAGAGCUAAUAUAUACUGGAUAGGAAUGUGUUAGUCUAACAUCUACCAAAAUCA